UCGAGAAUUUUUCACAAUGGGGGAAACCCUGAUGGAGCGACGCCGCGUGGAGGAUGACGGUUUUCGGAUUGUAAACUCCUGUCAUUAGAGAACAAUGCACGGGCAUUAACUGUGCUUGUGUUGAUAGUAUCUGAAGAGGAAGAGACGGCUAACUCUGUGCCAGCAGCCGCGGUAAUACAGAGGUCUCAAGCGUUGUUCGGAUUCAUUGGGCGUAAAGGGUGCGUAGGUGGCGAUGCAAGUCAGGUGUGAAAUCUCCAAGCUCAACUUGGAAACUGCACUUGAUACUGCAUUGCUUGAGGAUUGUAGAGGGCAUUGGAAUUCACGGUGUAGCAGUGAAAUGCGUAGAUAUCGUGGGGAAGACCAGUGGCGAAGGCGAAUGCCUGGGCAAUUCCUGACACUGAGGCACGAAGGCCAGGGGAGCAAACGG
rnacentral:rRNA from 1 species